rnacentral:rRNA from 1 species
GAACGCUGGCGGCACGCUUAAUACAUGCAAGUCGUACGAGAAAGUCUCUUCGGAGGCGAGUAUAGUGGCGCACGGGUGAGUAACGCGUAGGUGACAUACCUUAAGAUGGGGGACAACAGAGAGAAAUUUCUGCUAAUACCGCAUAUAUAAUGAGAAUUUGGAAGUAUCAUUAUAAAGAUGGCCUCUCCUUGGAAGCUAUUGUCUUAAGAAUGGCCUGCGUACCAUUAGCUUGUUGGUGGGGUAAUGGCCUACCAAGGCAUUGAUGGUUAACCGGUCUGAGAGGAUGAUCGGUCACACUGGAACUGAGACACGGUCCAGACUCCUACGGGAGGCAGCAGUAGGGAAUAUUGCGCAAUGGGGGAAACCCUGACGCAGCGAUGCCGCGUGAGUGAGGAAGGCCUUCGGGUUGUAAAGCUCUGUCCUUGGGGAAAAAAUGCUUCAACGGUAAUAUCGUUGAGGAGUUGAUGGUACCCAAGAAGAAAGCACCGGCUAACUUCGUGCCAGCAGCCGCGGUAAUACGAAGGGUGCAAGCGUUGUUCGGAUUUAUUGGGCGUAAAGGGUGAGUAGGCGGAUAAUUAAGUCAGGUGUGAAAUCUCGGGGCUCAACCCCGAAACUGCGCCUGAAACUGAAUAUCUA